rnacentral:lncRNA from 1 species
AGGCGCUCUUGUCUUCUCCUGCAACAGAAACUGCCGACAAACCGUGGCCUACAAGGAAGGAAGGCCCAGGAGCCCUGGGCGGGGAGCCCAGCCCUCCCACCCAUAGCCCCAGCAGAAGGAAGAGCCACAGAGGACAGGAGAGAGGGACCUCGGAGGCUGGAAUUUCUCCUGGGAACAGCCCCUUGCAAGGCCUCAUCAACUGUCUGAAGGAAAUCCUUGUGCCUGCGCCCCGGCACCCCGAGACAUCCCCAAGCUUCUUGCCACCUCUCCCUAGCCUGGGCACGUCCAGGCUAACCAGAGCAGACCUGGGGCCUGGGAGCCCGCCCUGGGCAGGUG